ACACCGCCCACUCGGCGAACUGUCUCCGAGCGGAGCCGGGCUGGAUUGGAUUGGACCCCUGGGCGGGAAAGGACGGACGGGUUAAGUAGCCAAUCACCAAUUGCGCUCCAGCCAGAGGGGCGAUGUUCUUGGGGAGCCUGGGGAUCUGGAAGAAGUUCAGUGUGAGGACGAGUGUUAGGAAAUAAGGCUGAAGACAGAGGCAACCCUGGAGGAUCUUCUAACCCAUGUCAAGCAGUUGAGAAUUUAUGGAGUGAAAUAGCAAGCCAUUGAAGAGUUUCAAGCUUUCAUCCAGCUUUUAAGGGAAACUAAUAUCUCAUGAAAUUGUGAGGGCCUGGAAUCUUCAAAGAGCCAAGGAUUCUGCCAGACUGAGCAAUAGACUUGAUGAGCAUUCUCCACUUAAGAUCUGAACUAUGAGAAGUCGAAUCAAAGCAGUUCUUUUGUAAUUCCAAACAGCCAUUUAGACAUAUGAAGAAAUGAAAGUAAAGCAGUUCUAAAGACAAGGAAGAGGGUCAAUGAAAGGUGCUCCCAAUGCAAUCACAAAGAUCUUUAAAAGUGGAAGAAGGUGGGAGAGGUCAGAGUGAUACGAAGAGAACUCAGUCUACCACUGCUGGCUUUGAAGAUGGAAGAAUGGGGCUAUGAGCCCUGGAUUGCGGGCAGCCUGCAGAAGCUGGGGCAGAGAUUCCACACAGGCACCUCUAGAAAAUAAUGCAGCCAGCCAAUCCUUAGACUUUAUCCCAGUGAGAGUCAAGUUGGACUUCUGACCUACAAAAGAAUACAGCAAAAAGGCAGCCAUCUGAAAGGCAGGAAGAGAGCCCUUACCAGAAACCGAGCUCUGCUGGACCUUGUCCUUGGACUUUCCAGCCUCCAGAACACCCUUUGACACAGCCGACAAAGAUCCUGACAGAUAAAUUGGUGUGGGCCUGUCUUUCUGGGACCUUCUUGCCUGAAAUUAUUUCAAGACCAGUUUUCUCAGCCAUAGAGUAUGUGCAGCAGAGGUCUGUAUCUUCUGCAGGUUGAUGUGCUCCUGUGCAACUGGAUGGGUCCCAGUUCAUGGCCCCAGGGCCAACACAGACUAUUAAUGUUUCAAUGAAUUACCUAAGGAGCACCAUGAAAAAAACACACCAUGGUACUGGCAAUUGUUUGAAGAAGGUCCUAAAUAUGCCUGGGUUUGGGAGUCUCGGCUUCUACUGGGAAUGAUACAAGAGGUCAAGGCUACUUGUAAUGAAUAAAUCCUGUUCUCUGCCA
rnacentral:lncRNA from 1 species